rnacentral:rRNA from 1 species
UAGGGAAUCUUCCACAAUGGACGCAAGUCUGAUGGAGCAACGCCGCGUGAGUGAAGAAGGUUUUCGGAUCGUAAAGCUCUGUUGUUGGUGAAGAAGGAUAGAGGCAGUAACUGGUCUUUAUUUGACGGUAAUCAACCAGAAAGUCACGGCUAACUACGUGCCAGCAGCCGCGGUAAUACGUAGGUGGCAAGCGUUGUCCGGAUUUAUUGGGCGUAAAGCGAGCGCAGGCGGAAUGAUAAGUCUGAUGUGAAAGCCCACGGCUCAACCGUGGAACUGCAUCGGAAACUGUCAUUCUUGAGUGCAGAAGAGGAGAGUGGAAUUCCAUGUGUAGCGGUGGAAUGCGUAGAUAUAUGGAAGAACACCAGUGGCGAAGGCGGCUCUCUGGCCUGCAACUGACGCUGAGGCUCGAAAGCAUGGGUAGCGAACAGG